rnacentral:rRNA from 1 species
UACGUAGGGGGCGAGCGUUGUUCGGAUUUACUGGGCGUAAAGAGCGCGUAGGCGGUUCGAUUAGUCGGAGGUGAAAUUCCUCGGCUUAACCGAGGACCCGUGUCCGAUACUGUUGAACUUGAGUGCAGGAGAGGAGAGCGGAAUUCCCAGUGUAGCGGUGAAAUGCGUAGAUACUGGGAGGAACACCGGUGGCGAAGGCGGCUCUCUGGACUGUCACUGACGCUGAGGCGCGAAAGCUAGGGGAGCAAACAGG